ACAGUGCCAUGAUGUGGAUACUGUUCAUACUGAUGAUGUGGAUACUGUUCAUACUGAUGAUAUAAUGCUGAUAAUGUGGAUAUUGAUGAUGUAGAUGCCCCGGAUGAUCAACCAGGGACUAAUAGAGCUGGACAGUGCCAUGAUGUGAAUACUGUUGAUACUGAUGAUGUGGAUGCUGAUGAUGUGGAUGUUGAUAAUGUUGAUGCCUCCGUUGAUCAACCAGGGACUGAAAUAGGUCAACUCGAAGCAGUCGUAAAUGCUGGGAUUGGCACAAACCAUGAAAAACGAACAGCCACAGUCAGAACACCUUGGAGCUAGGCUGAAGAAGACGUGGUAGAAAAUGGCCUUAAAAAGUGUUUUAAGCUUAAUACUCCACCAAAAAUAAGUUAGAAUGUCUUGAACUUAUAAAGAAGUAUCCAAUUCUUGCCAGGCGAUCAAGGACAAUGGUGAAAGGGUACAUUAGAACAAGGCAACUGGCCUUGCAAUAGGCUCA